rnacentral:lncRNA from 1 species
GCUACACCUGCAGCAUAUGGAGAUUCCCAAGCUAGGGGUCAAAUCAGAGCUAGCUGCUGGCCUAUGCCACAGCCAUGGCCAUGUGAGAUCCAAGCCACAUCUAUGACCUACACCACAGCUCACAGCAAUGCCAGAUCCUUAACUCACUGAGCAGGCCAGGGAUGGAACCUGCAAUCUCAUGGAUGCUAGUCAGAUUCGUUUCCACUGAGCCAUGAUGGGAACUCCUGGCAAUGGCUUUUCAUGGUUACAGUGCCUCUGUAAUCAUUAAAGUCUCUAAAUCAAACACUCUAGCAAAUAUGUGUUGGCAAAACUAUGGAGACUCAUAAUUCUGUCCUUUCAGAAGAUAUCUCCUGAGCAAAACAAGCCCCUUAAUAAAGCUUCUCAUUUCCUGCCAAAGAAUAACGGCAAGAAUAAGGAUAAAAAAUAUUUCAGGAGUUCCCGUCUUCUCUCUCUCUCUCUCUCUCUCACACACACACACACACACACAUUAUAGAUUAUGGUCAAAAUGAUUUUAAUAAAUCUGUUCAAUUAUGUAAUACAUUUUCUAGAAGACAUUUAAAAAGAGCCUAAAAUAGCUCAUGUUAAAGAAAACAUCACAAUUUUUAAACAUUAUCUUUAGAACAUAGCAAAUUUGGCAUAAACUACUGGAAUUUUCCUGCAACCUCUCUCAAGACUUGGAUUUGCUCUUAAUAUUUUAUGCUUCAUGAUAUAUUAAUAGCUUUGUAUUUGAACUUCUUGUGUAGUGCCCUCUCAUCUUGGUAGAGUUAACCCUAAAGACAAAAUCUAAGUGGCUGAUUUCUCUUAAGAAACUAAAGUCCCAAACUGAUAAAUUCAAAUUUCAAAACCAUCACAACCAAGACAAGGAGCUGACAUGUAAUUAUAUUAAUUUAUAGAUCAUACUCCUAAAUUGCUAUUACACAUUAGCAAUAAUUUUGUGAUGAACAUUGGAUUUGGGGGCUGGUGUUAUUAUAUUUAAAAAGAAUGACAACAUUUUACUUAUACAUGUGUUCAUAUAGUGUAAUUACACUUCACCGUGGAAUUUCAAAUAGAACUUUGACCAUUCCCUGGAGAUGCUUUCUCAUGAAUU